AGGGACACCCACGGUGAAAACCCUAGAGGCACACUCACCCAAUCCCAGCCGCCGCGCCCCAUCCCCUCGCGAGUCUCCUUCCAAUCCCCACGUGUGCUCCUCCCCCGUGUCCGGCGGCGCUGCUCCAUCUCCCUGGCCGCCACCCACCUUCUCCUCCUCCCAAGCCCCGUAUCCCCACCUCGUCGGCCGGCCUCCUCCAUGGAGCUCGAGCUCUGGAGACCCGAGGCUGGGUGAGCAUGGAGUAGCAGCAGCAGUGGAGGCCCUCAUGGUCAUCUCCGAUGAGGCGGAGGAGGAAGCCCUCCAGGGCGCCGUCGGUCCGGAGGCCGCCACCACGGGCGGCGACGCUAGAGGAGCAUGAGGAUCCAAGAGAUGGGCCGUGGGCGCGGUGUGCGGGGGACUGGUCUGCGGUGGGUGAGCGCUCUGUCCCUCGCCCCCGACGUGCUCCUCUCCUCUCUCUCCAUAUCCUCGUCCUCCUGUUCUAGCCUAGUAUUGCCUGGCAUCCAGACCCAAACUUGGAAUGAGGUAACCUUGAGGUAACCUGUUGAGACCUGCUCCAGACCCAGCCGUCCACUAUCAAGAUUUGAGAAAUAUUACUCUGAAGAAGAUUGUGGUGUAAGAUUAUGAUUGGUUUCUGGGUUAGAAAUGUAUAAAGGAAUUCUGCUAACUCUAGAACCAUAUGACCACUAAUUUUUCUUUAUAAUGUUCCUACCUAGGUUCUAUUAGUUUAGAUCAGCUUCAUGUUAUUAGAAUCGGCUAAUGUGAGAGAUCAGUUAAAUCAUUAUCGAUGAAGCGCUCGUCAACAGUGUACCUACAUGUUAUUAAAAUCGGCUAAUGUGAGAGAUCAGCUUCUUUGGUUUCCAUUUUUCUUAGGCUGGCGUGCAUACACCCAUGUUAAAUGUGAUGCUUGAGAUGUAUAUUAUGAAGUUUGUCUGUUGACAUGUUUAUCGAAGAAAAAGAAAUGUACUGCUAUGCUUGAAAGGACUCCCAAUAGAAUACCUUGUGUUUUAUCUCCGAUCUUAAUCUUAUUGGAGUAUAGCGAUUAGAAUUGUCUUUGUUCAUUAGCAGGACAUAGCUAGACCAGACAUAUUUGACCAAAUUAUUAUAAUUCCCAUAGACUCAUAGUUAACUUCUAUGGCUGCAUAUGCUGGUCAAACAUAUCCUACUUGCUGCAUAGAUAAGUGUUUUUCUUACAGUUUUGUAGUUAAACUACAUGUGGUGAUACCUUCUGUUUUAUUGGCAGUUUUCUUUCUGGUUAUACCUUAUGUUUUAAUGUCAGUUUUCUUGGUGGUUACCCAUUGCUUUAUCCGUAUAUGUGCAAAAGUUCUGUGGCAAGUAGCAGGUUUGCUCCCUUUCCAGGUGUUAAUUGGUGACUGCAUAAAAUAAUGACUAAGAAAAUCAAGUACUCUUAGAUUCAGUAUUACUUGCUGUACAUCAAGGUUACCUCAUUUUAUAUGACCAUUUCUUGGCUGAAUUCUUGGUGAAGUUAUGCUUGCUGGGUGGUCUGCUCCUCCGGAGAUGAUUGAAAGCUGAUCUACCUCGCAAUGAAUAACAACACCCACUUAAAGUUCACGGCCAUACAGAAUAUCAACUGAAAUUCAUAGCGAUAUACAUGUAUUUUUUCCCGGCUGGGGCUCAUCAUGGUGGUCGUUGUGAGCUGAAAGGCAUGGGGGCGUCCAGACCAUCACUCCCCCCCUACAGUUGUUUGACAUGGGUCUAAAGAUCUUCGUUCCUCGCCUAGAAGCCCUUGCCAAGUUUGCUUUUGGGAUGGGUUUGCCUCAGAUGUGAGGUUCCAGAAUUGGAGCAGAAGGUUGAGCAAUGGUAGCGAAUGACAUAGUCGCUUUAAAUUUUGCACUCCCUUCUUUCAUACAUUUAUUUAGCCAAUUGGAUUGUCUCUGUUGAGGUAAUGCUUUUUCUGCAGAUAUUUGUUAAUUGGGUUCUGAAAUAAAAAUCAGUGAUCUAAGAUAAAUAAGAGGUAUUAGGCUGUUUAUUGAAAUAUCACCACACUCCAGUACCAGUGGAUUCCCACAAAUCUUGCAGGUUCAGGGGCAGGCCACACCAACGGCAGAAGCUAGAGCUCAGAAAUUGUUUGGUAUCCAUCAUCAACCUUUGCACCUAUUCGUGAUAUAUGCGGCUUUGCUAGAUGUACCUUCAUCCAUGGUUCUUCCAACUGUGGUUGAUGAUCCGUAGGAGCUACCGGCAUCAUCUGAUGCAUCUGGAAUAAAUAAGAGCUGUAGAAAGUACAGAAUGAUGAUACUUAAGAGAGAUGUCAGGCAUCACUGGAUUUAUCAGUGGAAGAUGUUGUGGUGGCGUGGUCCAUCACUCCCGGCACCGUUCAGCGAGGCACCAUGGAUCCUUCUUUUUAAUCCAAUCUUACUAGCCUAUUUGGUAUUGCUGCCUCUGUAGAGAUGCGUCGUUCUGAGGGCUGGCAUUAUCUACGGCAGUAGCGAACCAAUGUUGAAGCUCUCAUGGGCGCGAGGCAUAUAACCAAGCAGGUUAAGUCUGGACAGAAUGUCAUGCCAUAUCUGUUUAGAGAAGGAACAUUGAGUGAGCAAAUGGGGUAUAGACUCAACCUCCUGACCGAUCACAUAAAGCGCGGGUGUCAUUAUCAUUCAAGUCAUGGCGUUUGCGCCUUUCUACUGUCCAACAUCGGUCAAGCGAGGCCUGCCAAGCAAAUAUUUUGCAUUUGAGACGGCUCCAACAUUCCUAGAUUGAGUUGUGAUGAGGAGAGAAUAUGGAGCCUUCAAAAAAUGCUUUGUAAGCAGAUUUAGCAGAGUAUGAGCCUGACUCUGUGAGGUUCCAAGUUAAGGUUUCCUGCGAGCCCGGAUGCAGCUCCUGCUCAACAGUGAUGUUUGCUAAGUGAAGAAAUAGAAUGAUAGCUUCAGUGGAGAGGGUUCCACUAAUAUCCCUGAUCCAGGCAUUCUCUGGUAAGGCUGAGGCGACUGACCGGCACUUGAUGACACGAGGACUGAGAGUAGCAACCACGACAGGGGUAAGAUCUGCAAUACUCUGCCCAGCAAGCCAUCUAUCCGACCAGAAAGGCAGGUUAGUGCCAUUACCAAGGGUGGCUGUAGUUACUGCAUAAACAAGGGCUUCGAUGUGGCGACUAAGAUGGAUGUGAAAGUUGGUCCAAGGGCGAAACAGUUGCCUAAUAGUACUUCAUUUCAGGAGAUAUUGGUGGCCCAAUCUUGAUAACCAUAUAUUCCUUUUUAAUAUAAAAACAUAAAUGUGGUUCCAUGUUAGAGAUAUGCUUAGAAGUAGCACCAUGUUCAUGUUUUUGUUCCGGUGGGAAACAUAAUUUAUUUCUAAAAAUGUAUUCAAUACUAAAUGACCAAAUGGACGAUGCAUCACUUGGUGCUUAUGUUUUGGCUA